UACGUAGGGGGCAAGCGUUGUCCGGAUUUAUUGGGCGUAAAGAGCGUGUAGGCGGCCUGACAGGUCUGCUGUGAAAACUCGAGGCUCAACCUCGAGAUGUCGGCGGAAACCGUCUGGCUAGAGUCCGGAAGAGGAGAGUGGAAUUCCUGGUGUAGCGGUGAAAUGCGCAGAGAUGCGGAGGAACACCGAUGGCGAAGGCAGCCCCCUGGGCCAACACUGACGCUCAGGCACGAAAGCGUGGGGAGCAAACAGG
rnacentral:rRNA from 1 species